GAGCCUAGGGGAGAGGAGCGGAGGGGAGGGGGGGCUGGAGAUAGGAAGCAAGGAUGAGGUAGGCCCGCCCCCUCCUCCGCAACGCCACUAGUAGGGGAAGAGGGUGGAAGGGGGAACCGCAGGACCAGAACCUCUGGGCUGAGCCUGCUCACCCACCAACCCUGGCCGUGUGCACACUGACCCUGCGGUUACCUUUGAGCUUCACAAGACCAACCAAACGGACCUUCCUGGUGGUCCCAGUGCUCUCUGGGGUCCCAGUGCGGUGCCCAGCGUCUAACCAGGACUGGAGUCUUCUCAGCUGGGCCCUGGGAGUGGACGCCUCCAGAAAGGGGUGGGGGUACGGGAUAUCCCCAAGCCUCUGUUAGGGUUCAGCCCACAAGGGACUCAUGUUCUUGGCUUAGGGUUGCUCAGGCAGUGGGAUCCCCUGGACCCCAGGGUGUGGGCAAGGAGGGUCUGUAGAGGCUGGAGGUGCCUGGAAGGAAAGCAGCCCGGGCAAAGGGGGCAUCCACAGUGGCCCCAAAGCAAGAAGAGGAGCACGGGCCGUGGGGAGUGGGAUGAGGGAGGGUCAUCCCAGAGGGACUUGAAGCCCCCCAAGGGGUCUGCACUUUGUUCUGCAGACCCCAGAAGGGGCUUGCGGCAGGGGCAGAGACUGGAGAGUGGCCAUAGGGCAGCAGAGAGGCCAGUGGGUAGCCGAGUGCCACACCUCAGGACAAAGAAGUCAGAUCUGUCCCCCUCCACAGACGGGAUGGUGUUUCCUUGGAGGCAAGUGGGCAGAGGUGGCUUCCCCAUGGCCAGGAGCCCUGUGUCCUGGGAGGGGUCCCUCUGGAGCUGCUGCUGGGAGAUGAAGGGACCCCUGAGGCUUUGUGCUGUCUGCACCCCGGGAGCCCCACCACUGGGCCUUCCUCUGCACACCCAGGAGCCCAGCCUGUUUGUAGGUUCGCCUCACACCAUGAAUUCUACCCAGAGAAAGGCCCUCUGCUGACGGGCUGGCACUGUCCUCACAGGGAGGAGGCACCAGCCUGUUCCGUUCAGAGGAGGGAGAGGACUUCGGCGUGCGGAAGGAAGAAGGUAUCUCGGCGUCUCCGUGCAUGCUGGCUGGUGCUGCUGGUCUUUCCCACUCACCAGAAGAUCCGAGGGAUCAGCCAUAGUUCCAGAUGUAAGCAGGGCUGGGGCACCUCAUCUUGUGGGUGGAAGCCCCAGACCACUGGGUGCCCAUCAGCAGUGCCUGGACUGCACAUGGCCCCCCGAGGAAGCAGGCAUCUCAGGUUUGAGUCAGAGCCAAGCAGGACCCAAGAUUAAGAGGUUGAUCCACGGAGGUUGAAGGAAAAGCAAUCCCCAGUUCCCGUUUCAGCAAGAUGCCCCAGAACUGAUGCUCUAGCAAGGAUGAAGGCUCUAUGCUGUUUCAGGACAUUGACGGAGACAAAUCUGCCCGUCUCAUUUUUCAGAGAAAAAAGGAGAACACCCUGCUGAGGCCUCGAGGAGCCAUCGGCUGCCUUCACAGCCUCUUGGGGGUGGCUGAGAGCCCCUGUAGAUGCCAGACUGGAGGGGCCGGCUCGGGAUGCAGGUGGAGCUGUGCACCCAGCAGCUUGUGAUUCUCUCAUGUACAAACAGUGUUGGCUCCAGCAGCUUUGCCACACUUUGGAAGGUUCUGGAAAGUGAAUCCUGGAUCAAGGCUUGAAAAUCUUUGCUUCCUCCUUUGUUUAGGAUGUCCUUUCAAAGAGCUAGCUCAUUAAUCAUUUAUGUUUUUAAUUUUGUAUCUUGCACACCCACGGGCUACAUUGUCAGCAAUCUGGUUACCAGCAUGCCUGCCCCCCGUCCCCUCCGCUGCGCCCAGACAAAGCCUGUGGUGAAAAUGCCCAGUUGGGGUAAAUUUCAUGCAAACAGGAGGAAUUCCAUUUACUUAAAAACAGAUGGGAAAAUCGUUCAGGCUCAAGCAGUUUUUGCCAAGACUGCAUUGACAGGAUUCCAGAGAGGAUGAGCAGAAUUCAGACGUUCAUGGUGCCCAGUUCCAGCAGGGGAUAGUCAGUCUUCGCCCAGGCAGCCAGGGCGUGGUGGAUUCCACGAGGGUGCUGUCCCUUCAGUACCUCCAGUACCGUCUUCUCCACAGGAACCUUAAAGCCCAGCCCCUUCUCUGGUCUCCUCCAGGCAAGUAACCUCGAGUCCUGCCCGAUCUCCCACAUCACUGAACUGCACUGAGCAGCCAGGAACAUGAAAUUGCUCUGCCAGAACUGGCUGCUCCUGUGGGAUCAAAGGCCAGCUCAUCUGCCCCCAAAGUUCUCCCGUGGGUUCCCUCCCCAGCAGAAAGCUAACCCCAGGGCUGGGACCACCUGCUGCCCCGGCUCCCCCAGGUUUCUCCCACCAUCCUUCUCCCUGGAGCCUGGCACAGAGAGGGGCUGGAAGCCAAUGCCUGUUGACACACUGAAGCACAUCUAGGAGAAGCCAAGGGUAGCCCUGUCCAUGUGGUGUGGCAGGCUGAGGGCCUCCGGAACCCACUCCUCGGCUCUCCUGCAGGUGCAGGACUCCAGGCACACAGGCACAGCAUGGGAACGGUGGGACCAAAAGUGAAAGACAGAAGCCAGGCCAAGUGGCUCAUGCCUGUAAGUCCAGAGCUUUGGGAGGCCAAGGUGGGCAGAUGGUUUGAGCCCAGGAGUUCAAGACCAACCUGGGCAACAUAGAAACCCUGUCUCUACAAAACUGCAAAAAUGAUCCAGGCUUGGUGGCCUGCCUAUGGUCCUACCUACCCAGGAGGCUGAGGUGGGAGGAUCGCUUGAAUCUGGGAGGUCCAGGCUGCAGCCGCCACAAUGGCACCAUGGCACUCCAGCUUAGGUAACAGAGUGAGACCCUGUCCCACAGAAAAGAAGAAAAAGAAAAUUAAAACUUAGCCAGGCACGCUGGUGCGUAGCUGUUGUCUCAGCUCCUCAGGAGGCUGAGGCAGGAGGGUCACUUGAGCCCAGGAGUGGAGGCUACAUUGAGCCCUGAUCAUACUCCUGCACUCCAGCCUGGGGAGCAGAGCAAGACCUUGUCUCAAAAAAAAAAAAAAAGGAAAGAAAGAAAGAAAGAAAAAUUAAUUAAUUAAUUAAUUAAAAACAAAAAUGAGGGCUGUGCAUGGUGGCUCCCGCCUGUAAUCCCAGCACUUUGGGAGAUCGAGGUGGUGGAUCCUCUGAGGUUAGGAGUUCGAGGCCAGCCUGGCCAACAUGGUGAAACCCCAUCUCUACUAAAAACACAAAAAUUAGUCAGGCGUGGUGGCUUGCCCAUAAUCCCAGCUACUUGGGAGGCUGAGGCAGGAGAAUCACUCGAACCUGGGACAAAGAAGCUGCAGUGAACUGAAAUUUCACCACCGCACUCCAACGUGGGCAAGAAGAGCAAGACUCCAUCUCAAAAGCAAACAAACAAACACCCACAAGGAACCAAGCACAGGCGGUGAGUCGAGAGGCAUUUGGGCUUAUUCUGGCCGCCUCCUGUGGGGCUGUCAGCCUCAGGACGGGGGCGGUGCAGCAGCUCAGUCCCCGAGGGUUGUGGCCGCCUCUAGAACAGCGAAGAUUUUAUGCUCUGUUGACACUGUGCUGUCAUCGGUGGGACCUGUGCCCCGCGGAUCAGCUUCGCCUGCGUUCCGAGGGCCUCGGCACCAGUGACAAUGGCUGGCUGACGAAAGCAGGGCCUUCCAGGCCAUCACCCCGUCCCGUCCCCUCCCCACUCCCCGUGGAAACGGAGGGAGCUGCUUCCGGGUCACAGCACCAUCAGAAAGACAGAUGAGCCCACAGAGGCCCAGAGGAAGCUCUAUUAGCCGAGAAACAGGAUUUAAUUUGGGGAAAUGAGGAGAGACAGGUUCUCAGUCAUCUCACCUGGGGCAGAACUGCUUCGGCUUCAAUCCUGUAAUUUGGGCAACAGGAAGUGCCUCCCCAGACCGAGAGGUCCGGCCCCCCAGGAAUUUCCAUUAUUAGGAGGAGGAAGGGCUCUAUUUAUCCAGCGUAUGGGCGGAGCAGGGAAGUGAGGAAAAGAUUUAAGAUAGGAAAGCAUUGAUUUUUUUUUUAACAUCUUACACUGAAGUCAAUACAAAUUUAAUUUAUAGUUUUUUUAAAGGACCAGGGCUCUCAACAAGCUUCCCUAGCCCCUGGCAAGCUGGCUAAUUGCAUGAGGGAGUUGACUCGUACUUCCAGCCACCAAUAAUGCUGUCAGCUGCGAAGCCCGUGGUCGCCUGUGAUGGUGAGAACAGGCAGGGCAGCCACAGUGGCUCCAGAGGCAUCUGGAAAGGGCGGAGCUCUGGGACCUCGUGGGAACUCUGCGUGAUGCUCUGCCUGGUAGUCCCACAUCCCCAAACCCCUUGUAUUGUCAUCGCUGGUCCCUAGUGUCACAGGUGGCCUCCCACACGCCCCCUCCAUCGCCUUCAGGCAAAUGGAGAAGCUGUGACAAUGGUCCUGUUCUGUGGCAGAUACAUCGAAAGGAACACAGGUCCCGCUCACUCGGGGGGAGGCCCAGGCCCCACUGUGGACCUGACAUCCAGACUCCUGGCACCUCGACGCUACCCAAACACUCUCCUCAUCGAGGCCUCCUCACUCCUGAGACCUGGCCCUGCCACACGCUCCGGGACCGCCGGCCCCUCUGUUCCUGUCCUCCCAGCCUGGGCACAUGGCCACCCCCACAGACCUGAGCAGCCAAGGAGUCCUUGCAUUUGCUAUCUCCUCUGCCCACCGGGAGGGCAGGUGCCGCGUCCUCUCAGGGAGGCCCGGGUGCAGGGACCCCUCACCACCCUCUCUGAAGCUGGUCCUUAUCUAAUCGGAAGCCCCUUGCCUGGUGCCGCUGCCCCACUACACAUGAGUACACGUGGGGGCAGCCACAGACACUCCCGGCCCCACCCAGCCCAAGGAAGGUGCAUCUCAAUUUCUGUCAGAUGACACUGUCACUUUGACUGGGAUGGAUGUCACAGGAGCCUCCAGCCAGAUGUGGCCUCAGUCACUGGCCUGGGGCUUCUGUGGCUCGGGGCUGCCAGGCGGCCCCAGGAGGACUGGGCAGCUAGGACUCAGAGCUGGCGGACUGGUCAGACGUACUGCCACGCACAGGCUGCUGGCAUCUGUGCCCUGGCUGCCAGCCCACCAGCAGCCCAAGCUCACCAGGGCCUUGCUGGACCAGAUGUCCAGUAGGCUUUGGGCAGAGCCAUCAGUCUAGACAGGACCCAUGGGCUGUCACCGCCCUCCCCACCCCGCAUCCAGGACAAGGUCACCUAAUGCCACACCAGGUCGGUGGUUCAGAAGGCCUGGGUUCUCCCAGCAGCACAGCAGGGGCUGCAGAGAGCUGGAGUCUGGCCAGUCCUGAGGCUCUGUGGCAGCCCGAUGCCCACCUUCACCGGCAAACAUCAGGGCGCCACCCUCACCCAACAGGCUCUGCCUCAGCCUCUGCAGAGUGCGGCACUGGUGUGGGCUGCAGGCCAUGUCCCCGAGGCAGCCACCAUGGGCCUGCCCGAGCUGAGUGGCUUUCAGCAGACCAGGUGACCACUCAGGCCUGCGUGGACUGAAUGUACUCCCAGAAUCUGCAAGCUGAAACUCUCACUCCAGUGUGAUGGCGGACACAGGAUAGCAUCGUCUGUACCCAGGAAGCUGAGUCUGCCCGCACCUCAAUCUUGACCUCUGGCCUCCAGCACUGUGAGGAGCACAUUUCUGUUGUUUAAACCUCUGAGUUGAAAGUACUUUGUUGGAGUUGCCCAAGUGAGACAGAGCCUUAUGUUCCUCAAUAACAAGUGGAGAAAAUCAGCCCCCAUCCCACGGGAGGGUGGGGGUGGGGCGCUCCGAGGACUCGGGAGGAGGCUGGAAGGCACCAGAGGAAUCAGUCCCGGCUCGGACAUGCCCCUUUUGGUUGCUCACAGACCCUCCCACUAGUUGCAGCUGAAGAGAGCGUGAUGCAUCCAUCCCUGCAGCUCGGACAAGCUGGCCCCAUCCCUGCAGCUCGAACAAGGUGGCCCUGUCCCUGCAGCUCAGACAAGCUGGCCCCAUCCCUGGAGACAGGGCUUUUGCUUAAUCACACUUCCUGGCACCCCACCUACAGAGAUGAGCUCCAUUUAGAUCAAUGUUCUCACCCAAGGGAGCAUCUACUCCUGAAUACACAAGCCAGGUGAUGAGAAUCUUCACGAGAAAGGAGCCAGGAGUCCAGGCACUAGGUGGGGAGCACCCAAGGAGCGAGGUCGGGUCGGGCAGCCUUGGAGAUCAGCAGAGGAACCCUGGGCAUUCUGCAUUGCUGGUUCCUACUUUUACAUAACUGCAGGACGCUGGAGCCAUUGCUGUGUUUCACUCUCCAUGAGCCACGUUUGUGUGGCUCUGGGCAGCGGCGGGAUCUCCCCGAACCUCCCCCUCUUGACCUGUGAAGUGGGGGAGCGCACCAUGGAUAGAGGAUUGCAACAGUGGAGGAAUUCGGCGAGGUUUGUAGAGCGUGGAGAGUGGCAGCUGGCUGGGGAGGCGCCAUGUGAGCAGGAAGGUGAAGAUGCUGAGUCAGCUCCCGGCGCCCCACAGGCACUGAGCAUGUGCCGCCAGCCUCACACCCAAGAUGAAGGCCUGGGCAACGGGCAGCGGAAGGUGCUAAGGACUGCUAAACUGCCAGAACCCCCCACACCUGGCUGACCGGCCCCUCAGCCGGUUUGGCUGCCUCCGGCACUAUUGCCCAGCCUCUGGGGAGGGGGCGGGGCCACAGGGACCCUUUUAUACUUAACGGCUCUGCCACACACCCUGAAGGGGAAAAGGUUUAGGGAGACUGGGAAACGCAGAGGGGAGAUCGUAUAGCCCCCACCGUGGCACUCGGUGGAUUUUGCCCUCCCCCACGCAGCAGAGCCCUGGAACCCCACAACUGGCAGCUGGCUUGGCUUAACCUGGCAGUGGUUGGCAGGGUCCUCAUAGCUAGAGCUGGGGCUGAGCUACCAGCCCCUCCCCAUGAUGGGCUGUGUGGCAGAGCCUGGGGCCACCCCCCGUCCCCGCACCCACAGGUUCAGGGAGAAGGGCAGGGCAGCAGGGGUUGGUUCCUGCCCUGUCAACCCCUCAGGCUGAUCCUUGUCCCUGCAGGGGUACCACAGGUUCUUAGGAACCCCUGCCCUCCAGCAGGAGGCCAAGGCAGGAGGGAGGAAGAGGGGCUGGAACCAGGCCCCACGUUGGGGCAGGGGGUCCAGGGGCAACUUUCCUUCCUCCUCCCACCCCACACUGUCCAGGGCCCCCCCCUCUGGUUGUUGGCCCCUCCUGCCCCUGCCUCAAGGCCCCCACAGUCCAAGCCAGGGCUUCGACUCCACCUACAUCUGAUCCCCACCCCGGAGCUGUUCUCGGCCUCACACAUCAUCCUCAGCACCUUCCCCACCUCCCCCAGCCAAUCCCCAAAGCAAGACAUCAGAGCAGCAUGAAGCCUGGAAAUAAGCCAGACCCCACAGCUCCUCCAAGCACCACUGAUGAUGACCCCUCUCACGGGCAGUGGGGAGUGGGGCUUCCCUCCCCUCAGCAGAGUCAGGAGCUGCCUCAAGGUUCUUGCACCUGCCAGUCCCACCGGUCCCCCGGGGCCAGCUUCUCCCUUCCUGGCUUCGGAACAGGGACCGUUGCCCAGUGCUUCCUGGGUCUAGCCACCCGGCGGGCACCCCCUCCCCGAGACUCAGCCCUGACUGCAGGCAGCCAGCCAGCAGCACAGGUGCAGCCAAAUCGCCCAGCGCACACGCGCACGCACACACACGUGCGCGCACACACACGCGCACAUGCACACAUGCACGCACACCGGCACACACACACGCACACCGGCACAUAACACGCACACAGGCACAAAGGAACAAACACACAUGCAUGUAGGCACUGACCAUUUCCAGGGGCUCCAGGACACCCACCAAGUUCUCCCCUGCACUCCACACAGUCACCCACAGGUAUGCACAAUUCUACACCCAGGUCACACACACGCACCAGGCCUGGACUUAGGUAACCCGGUGCCUGCAGUCUGACUCUAAGAUGCACUCAGUCACACUGAGACACACCACAGUCACAGCUCAUGGGAAAUCCCCAGGUCCCAUCAUGGAGGCCUGACCUGCUGCCGCAAAGCCCAGCCCCUUGGCAGGAAGCCUAGAAGCCGCUGCACAAACCCCCGACUGCCAGGGGCAGCCAGGCCCUUCCAGCCACCCUGGGAAUGUGGAGUGGGGUGGGAAGGUCCUUCCUGUGGGAAGCCAGGUGGAGACAAGGGCAGGGAUGAUGACACUUGGCCACUCAGCAGGCCCCACAGCAUCUUGAGGCCUCAUGAAUUUUUCAGCGGUGUCCAAAGUGCAGAUUGAAGCCGCCAAUAGGGUGUCUUGGUGGAUCCUGUCUUAAAUUACUCACCAACCCAAGUCGGGUGGAGUUCUUCCCCACCCAUGCCCUGACUUCAGGACCUACUCUGGGGCUCCAGCUGCCCCAGGACUGACCCCGACUCCCAGCAGCUGCCAGGCAGAGCCACACUCUGGGCCUUGGGGUCCCCUUCAGCCAGACAGCAGCCCAGGUGUCCAGCCAGCUGUAAGCAUCAAGCAACACCGCACUGGGGCCCCGGCCCUGACGCUGCACAGUCCCCCACUGGCCAGGGCUCCAGGCACUGUCUGGCUGUGGACCUCCCUGGCCCUUACCCUGGCCACUGCCCUCCAGGUGUCCAUGGGCUCCCCAAGCCAACACCCACAGAGCGUUCCACCCUGACCCCAACCCAGUAAGCUCUGCCCCUCCCCAUGCCCCUGCCCCCACCUGCUACAGGGAAAAAAACCCACUCUCCACUGACCCCAAGGGGGCAGCCAGAGCUCACACCUCCACUGCAGCCCCUGUUCAGGAAGCUGGAGAGGCAGCCACAGAGGCCCCUCUCUGACAGAUGGAGAGAAUCAGGCCCCACCCCACAGGAAGGUGGGGAUGGGAGCGAGACAGCAAGACCCUCGCUCUGAAAGGAGGGCAGAAACGUGCCAGGAGACCAGUUCCCGGCUUGGACACGCCCCUCCAGGGUGGGUCCUUUAAUCCUGGCCACGCCCCUCAGGGAAUGUCCCUUACGACCCCCUUUCAUCGAGGGAGGAGGCACACGGCGGUGCUGGAGCUGGGACUCCAUCCACCACCUUGCCUGCUGCUCUGCCGCCCAGAACUUCAGUCACAAAGCUUGGUCCAGGCUCCCCGGGACCCUAAGAACCUUCCAGAAAGCCCCAAGGUCAAACCUGUUUUCACAAUAAUACCAAGGCUCCUUGCUGCUGUCCUCGAGUGGACAGUGGAGUUCUCAGAGGCCACAAGAAGGAGGACACUGUUUUCCUGUCCUUUAAUACUUCUCACAUUUAAUUUCCAGCACACUAAGUAGUGGCAGGUGUGACUUCCCUGACUUUAACACCGUGCCAGGGUCCAAAGACCGAAGCUCUUGAGCACCACUGGUCUGAAGCAAUGCAGAGCUCUGCCCGGUGCCCCCGGCCCCCUUCCUGACUAAGGAGCACAACCUGCUUCCCCGGGUCUCACCUGCCAGAAACCCCACCUGCCCUCAGGUGGGUGGCACCAGAACUACCCAGAGACUGAGGACUGGGGCCCCCAGGGCCAGCUUCAGCCAAGCCCCUGCCCUCCUCAGAGCUGAUAGUGGACAGUCUGCCUUUCUCCUGCUCUUCCCUACCCAGAGACACACCCACCUGGGGAGCACUGUGGCCUUGCACUGAGCGCGGCAGGCAGGGAGGGCUUGCCCCCACCAGCAGUGCCCAGCUGACCAAGGCUGCCAGAGCCAUCCAGACUUUGCAACUGCAACUGGGACAUGGGGGCCCUGAGUACCUCAGGGACCGCCCAAGGGGGCUCCCACAACUCCAGCUGGGAGCUGUUUCUCACUGUUGUCCCGUCUCAGGCUGACAGAUUUCUCCCAUUUGGCCCCAGUUCUAACCAGGUCGCAUGAAGGACAAUCUCACAUGGGCCCUUCGGGUCCCACUCAGCCCCUCCCACCAGUGGUGGCCAAGUGGACGCCCAGGAUGGGCCAGGGUUCAUCAGGAACACCUGGUGUCCUUGGGCAGGGCCACUAGGUAAACACAGGACACCCAGCCAGAUCAGAAUUCCAGGUAAGGAGAAUUGACAUUUUUGUGUGAAUAUGACCCAACUAUUUUAUACUAACAAUUAUUUGGUAUCUAUUCAAAGUCCUGAUGUGACCGGGUCCCGUGUCUCCUCCUUGGAGGCCUUGUGGCUCUAACGUCGCGGAUUCAAAUCCUCCCCAUCUAGGGCUGUGCGCUGCCAGCACCCCCGGGGCCCAAGCUCCCAACAUCCCUGCCCGGCUGCUCCAUCCUUCCUCCCGUUCUGCCUCCCUCUUAUGUGGCUUUCAGGGCACCCCACUUUGGGAAUGGAAGAAGACACGGGUAGGCCUUCCAAGGGCGCCCGGACCAUCACCACUGCCUGUCACUUGCCCUGCCUCAUUUCCAUCCUCACCCAGCCCAGGGGAUCCAGUACACCACAAGGAGGUCAGGCCCGCACCCCUGGGCCUGUCUGUGACUCCAUGUGGCAGGAAAGGAUUCUGCAGAUUUGGUUGAGGAUGUCAAGAUGGGAGUCAUCCUGGAUUACCCCAGGUGGGUCCUCAGUGCAAUCACACACAUCCUCUUAGGAGGGGAUUUGACAUGGGAGGAGAAAGCAUUGUGACCACCGAGGCAGAGUCUGGAGGGACGCUGCCACAGCAGGGAGUGAAGCAGGGACCCGAUUCUCCUGGAGCCUGCAGAGCAGAGCAGAGCACGCCUGACAGCUUCAUUUCCGCAGUGAGGCUGAUUUGGGCCCCGGAGGCCUCGCCAUUUGCGGUCAUCGGUCACAGCAUCCCCAAGAAACUAACGCACACUACAGGGACUUGUGGUCAGUCAGCCUGCCCGCCCUGCAGGAGAACCCCUGAGUCAGGUACCCAGCUGCAGGCAGAGGGCUGGGGCUGGGUGACAGAGAUGCGCCCUUCAGCACUGCGUGCAGGGUCAGGGAACCUGCCCACCCUCCACCCCAACCCUCACCUGUAUCAUCAGGGAACCCACAAUUAUUUGGUAUCUAUCCAAAGUCCUGAUGUGACUGGGUCCUGUGUCUCCUCCUUGGAGGCCUCGUGGCUCUAACGUUUCGGAUUCAAAUCCUCCCCAUCACCCCGGCCCUCACCUGUAUCAUCAAGGAACCCACCCUUCACCCCGACCCUCACCUGUAUCAUCAGGGAACCUACCCUUCACCCCAAUCCUCACCUGUAUCAUCAGGGAACCCGCCGACCCUCCACCCCAACCCUCACCUGCAUCAUCAGGGAGCCUGCCCACCCUCCAUCCCGACCUUCACCAGUUGCAGCAUGACUGGCUGUGUGCCAGGGUCACUUUCUCAGAGCAGGGAGGGUGGAAGGGAGCUGUCCUGCCAUGCCCCCACCCUUGCUGGCCAAGGGUUAGGGCAGGUUCUGGCCCAGAGAGACCAGGGACCCCAGGGAAGACCCAAAGCCCCGGGCCCACUGACUGAAGUCCCCAGCCUCCAGGCUUUGGGGGCUGGAGUUCCCACAACCAUGUACAGAAGGCCUGGACCGGAGGCAGCUUCAGCCACCCGUGACAGGCUUAGGAGGAGAGUGAGACUAGGCGUUCAGGGCCAGGGGAAGAGUGUGUGUGACAGUCACUGGCAGUGCAGGAGCCCUCGGCUCUCAUGCGGCCCCCAGAGACCCGGGAACCCUCAGCCCGUCCUCUGCCAUGGGGAGGCCCCUCACAACCACACAGGCCAGCUGGCCUUCCAGCGGGGCCUUGGUGCUGGGCCACGGCCUG